rnacentral:rRNA from 1 species
AUCGAUGAAGAACGCAGCGAAAUGCGAUAAGUAAUGCGAAUUGCAGAAUUCCAGUGAGUCAUCGAAUCUUUGAACGCACAUUGCGCCCUUUGGUAUUCCGAAGGGCAUGCCUGUUCGAGCGUCAUUAUCACCCCUCAAGCCCCGCGCUUGGUGUUGGAUGGCCGGUCGAGUGAUCGACCCCUCCUAAAGACAAUGACGGCGGCCUGUGGUUCCCCCGGUACACUGAGCUUUUCAUUGAGCACGUAUCGGAUAAGGGCACCCGGGACCCGGUCCUCUCCUUUAACUAGGAAACUUCUAAGGUUGACCUCGGAUCAGGUAGGAAUACGCGCUGAACUUAAGCAUAUCAAUAAGCGCAGGAAAAGAAACCAACAGGGAUUACCUCAGUAACGGCGAGUGAAGCGGUAAUAGCUCAAAUUUGAAAUCUGGCCUCUCGGGGUCCGAGUUGUAAUUUGUAGAGGAUGUUUUGGGUACCGCCCCGGUCUAAAUUUCUUGGAACAGAAUGUCACAGAGGGUGAGAAUCCCGUCUUGGACCGGCGGUAGGGCCUGUGUAAAACUCCUUCGACGAGUCGAGUUGUUUGGGAAUGCAGCUCAAAAUGGGUGGUAAAUUUCAUCUAAAGCUAAAUAUUGGCCAGAGACCGAUAGCGCACAAGUAGAGUGAUCGAAAGAUGAAAAGCACUUUGAAAAGAGAGUUAAACAGUAUGUGAAAUUGUUGAAAGGGAAGCGCUUGCAACCAGACUUGAGCGCGGCGGUUCCCCCGGUCUUUUGGCCGGGCUACUCCGUCGUGUCCAGGCCAACAUCGGUUCUGAGGGUCGGUCAAAGGCCUUGGGAAUGUAUCUACCUACGGGUAGACUUAUAGACCAGGGUGUCAUGCGGCCUCUCGGGACCGAGGAACGCGCUUCGGCUCGGAUGUUGGCGUAAUGGUUGUCAGCGACCCGUCUUGAAACACGG